AUACCUUGAACGAAAAUUCAUUUAGAAAGCACAUAAGAUAGGAUCAGAGGUGUAACUUUGAGAUAAAAGUAGGAUGAUGGUGUGAGGAUAAUUGUGGUUUUUUAUCGUUUUGAGUUUGGCAAGUGAUGUGGAUGAAAAUUAAACAGCUACGAGUCCGAAAACAGAUUUGAAUCGAUCGAUACAAAUGGUACAUGAUCGUGUCUCUCUUCGCAGAAAAUCUCCUGUAAAGUUUAAACGAUUUCGUUUCAACACUAGGAGAAGAUCAGGAUUACUAUUGGUAUUCGAGCAUAGGCGAAGCGUUUGCCCACUCUAUUCCCGUACGGUAAAAUUUGCCGCGGUAAUCUCAUUUCGUUUCGACGUGCCUUGAUUCGGUAAUGCAACGUACUCACCUGUCUAUGGAUAUGGCGCAUAACGAUAGUAUGCUGGCAGUACAGAGAAGAAUGUCGAGGGAGACCCACGAGUCGCAGAGCAUCGGGCCCAACUCCCAGCACGAAAAAAAGAAUUCACGCAAUCGAGCCUGUAUGUAUAAAAAUAAAUAAAAAAAAGUUUGAACAUAAGUAAGAAAAAAUAUGUAUUUCGACGAGACGUUCAGGAAUAGAUACAGGAAUAGAUCGAAUAGACGAAGAAAUUGAUUCGACAAAUUUGGAAAAAUCUAAUUCCUCUGGCAUUAACGAUGUAAACAUAACCUCAAAAUUUAAAUAUUGAGAUAAAACAAUAAAGUGAUAAAUUACACUAAUGUUUAGAGACAAAAAGAAAACUAUGUAUCGAGACUAAUUAUCGUGCCAUUGUUCUAUUUUAAUUGUUGUUUUGCAAUUAAAUUUUUUACAUUGUUAAAAAACACGUUUCAUAAUCAUUCUUCAUCUUUCGACUAAAUAUAUUCUCACGUUAAUUAUUGUUCGAACAAUUACGUUUUUUUAUCAAUAAAUAUUUUUCUGUAUCUUA